rnacentral:rRNA from 1 species
UAUGUGAUCGUCUCUCGCAUAUCAAUAAGCGGAGGAAAAGAAACUAACAAGGAUUCCCUUAGUAACGGCGAGUGAAGCGGGAAGAGCUCAAAUUUGAAAUCUUCAAGGUUUUACCUUGACGAAUUGUAGUUUAAAGAAGUGUUUUCUGUUGAAGUUUUGGUAAAAGUUCUUUGGAAUAGGACAUCAUAGAGGGUGAGAAUCCCGUAUUUGACCAUUAUUUUCAGCUGUGUGAUACACUUUCAAAGAGUCGGAUUGUUUGGGAAUGCAGUCCAAAAUGGGUGGUAAAUUUCAUCUAAAGCUAAAUAUUGGCGAGAGACCGAUAGCGAACAAGUACCGUGAGGGGAAAGAUGAAAAGAACUUUGAAAAGAGAGUUAAACAGUACGUGAAAUUGUCAAAAGGGAAGCGUUUGACACCAGUGUUGUUUUCUCGAAAAUCAAUUAAAAAGAGUUUAGAUUUUGUUGUGUAUUGACCUUAACAGCUUGCAUUUCAAUUUUCUUGCUUUUUUUAAUGCACUUUUCGUUUAACAAGUCAACAUCAGUUUCUUUUGUUGUAAAAAGGUCAUUGGAAGGUGGCUUUCUUUUCGGAGAAAGUGUUUAUAGCCUUUGACUCCUGCAAUCGGAGAGACUGAGGUCUGCAGCGUAGAUCCUUCGGGGUUAGAUACAUUUGUGCUAAGUUAUAGCUUUUUAUAGACAACUUGUUGACUAUGAUUAGUCUUGUAGCUUACUCGCUUAUGCUAUUUUACCUACGCUUAGGAUGUUGAAGAUGUAGCACAUCAU